rnacentral:rRNA from 1 species
AAUAGAUACCCGGGUAGUCCUUGCCUUAAACGAUGCAUACUAGGUGUAGGAGGGCUCAACCCUUUCUGUGCCGGAGCUAACGCAUUAAGUAUGCCGCCUGGGGAGUACGCUCGCAAGGGUGAAACUCAAAAGAAUUGACGGGGGCCCGCACAAGCAGUGGAGCAUGUGGUUUAAUUCGAUGCAACGCGAAGAACCUUACCUGGGCUCGAAAUGUAGAGGACGAUAUCAGAGAUGAUAUUUCUCGAAAGGGUCUCUAUAUAGGUGCUGCAUGGCUGUCGUCAGCUCGUGCCGUGAGGUGUUUGGUUAGGUCCAGCAACGAGCGCAACCCUUAUCGUUAGUUGCCAACGCGUGAAGGCGGGAACUCUAACGAGACUGCCUGGGUUAACCAGGAGGAAGGUGAGGAUGACGUCAAGUCCGCAUGGCCUUUAUGUCCAGGGCUACACACGUGCUACAAUGGUCGGUACAGAAGGCAGCAAAACCGUAAGGCGGAGCAAAUCCUCAAAACCGAUCUCAGUUCAGA